UUACGGCCAUAUCAUGUUAAAACGCCGUUUCCCGUACGAUUACCGCAGUUAAGCAACAUCAUUUAAGUUAGUACCUUGAUGGGUGACCGCUUGGAAAUUCUAGACGCUGUAAG